rnacentral:rRNA from 1 species
CCCUUAGAUGUUCUGGGCGGCCCGCGCACUACAUUGGCACUGGCAACAAGAUCCUAGAUCUGAUAUUUCGGGGUAUUCUACCAACUGGUGUCGUGACUGGGAUUAACCCCUGCAAUUAUUGGUUAUGAAUGAGGAAUUCCUUGUAAUCACGGUUUAUCAACCCGUGUUGAAUGCGUCCCUGCCCUUUGUACACACCGCCCGUCGCUCCUACCGAUGAAUCGUCCGGUGAAGUUCAUGGACUCCAGCUGUUUUCGAAGUGAAAUGGACCUCAUGAUUUAGAGGAAGGAGAAGUCGUAACA